GGGCACUUAGCACAGUGGUAGCGCGUUUGCUUUGCAUUUGUCACACGACUUGGCUUGCAUGAGGUCGAGGGUUCAAUCCCCUCAGUGUCCA